rnacentral:tRNA from 1 species
AUAAGUAUUGUAUUCUUCUUUUACAAUGAAGAUCAGAUUAUAUUGCUAAUCUACUUAUU